AACGAACGCUGGCGGCAUGCCUAACACAUGCAAGUCGAACGAGGCCUUCGGGUCUAGUGGCGCACGGGUGCGUAACGCGUGGGAACCUGCCCUUAGGUUCGGAAUAACUCCCCGACAGGGGUGCUAAUACCGGAUAAUGUCUUCGGACCAAAGAUUUAUCGCCUUUGGAUGGGCCCGCGUUGGAUUAGCUAGUUGGUAGGGUAAAAGCCUACCAAGGCGACGAUCCAUAGCUGGUCUGAGAGGAUGAUCAGCCACACUGGGACUGAGACACGGCCCAGACUACUACGGGAGGCAGCAGUGGGGAAUAUUGGACAAUGGGCGAAAGCCUGAUCCAGCAAUGCCGCGUGAGUGAUGAAGGCCUUAGGGUUGUAAAGCUCUUUUACCCGGGAUGAUAAUGACAGUACCGGGAGAAUAAGCACCGGCUAACUCCGUG
rnacentral:rRNA from 1 species